rnacentral:tRNA from 1 species
GGGGUUGUGGCUCAGUGGUAAAGCACUUGCCUAGCAUGCAUGAGGCACUGGGUUCGAUCCCCAGCACCACA